rnacentral:snoRNA from 1 species
AUGACGUACAGCCCUUUCCACAGCGUCGAAGAUGAAGCCAGGCCUCUGAGCCUAUGCCUCCAUAUUCCUACAGUUUCUCAGGGUCCCAGGGAUAAUGGCUGAGGAGAUAAAUAUUCUUUGCUUUAUGU